rnacentral:rRNA from 1 species
CCUACGGGUGGCAGCAGUGCGGAAUAUUGGUCAAUGGGCGCGAGCCUGAACCAGCCAAGUCGCGUGAGGGAUGACGGUCCUACGGAUUGUAAACCUCUUUUGCCGGGGAGCAAGCGUGCGUUCGUGAACGCGCGUCGAGAGUACCCGGAGAAAAAGCAUCGGCUAACUCCGUGCCAGCAGCCGCGGUCAUACGGAGGAUGCGAGCGUUAUCCGGAUUUAUUGGGUUUAAAGGGUGCGUAGGCGGGAUGCAAAGUCAGCGGGAAAAAUGCGGUGCUCAACGCGGUCGAGCCGUUGAAACUGGCGUUAUGGAGUGGGCGAGAAGUAGGUGGAAUGCGGGGUGUAGCGGUGAAAUGCAUAGAUAUGACGCAGAAUACCGAGUGCGAAGGCAGCAUAUCGGCG